rnacentral:rRNA from 1 species
UACGGGGGGAGCAAGCGUUGUUCGGAUUUACUGGGCGUAAAGGGCGCGUAGGCGGCCACGACAAGUCACUUGUGAAAUCUCUGGGCUUAACUCGGAAAGGUCAAGUGAUACUGUCGGGCUAGAGUGCAGAAGGGGCAACUGGAAUUCUCGGUGUAGCGGUGAAAUGCGUAGAUAUCGAGAGGAACACCUGCGGCGAAGGCGGGUUGCUGGGCUGACACUGACGCUGAGGCGCGAAAGCCAGGGGAGCGAACGGG